rnacentral:rRNA from 1 species
GGACGGGUGAGGAAUACAUCGGAAUCUACUUUUUCGUGGGGGAUAACGUAGGGAAACUUACGCUAAUACCGCAUACGACCUACGGGUGAAAGCAGGGGAUCUUCGGACCUUGCGCGAUUGAAUGAGCCGAUGUCGGAUUAGCUAGUUGGCGGGGUAAAGGCCCACCAAGGCGACGAUCCGUAGCUGGUCUNNNAGGAUGAUCAGCCACACUGGAACUGGGACACGGUCCAGACUCCUACGGGAGGCAGCAGUGGGGAAUAUUGGACAAUGGGCGCAAGCCUGAUCCAGCCAUACCGCGUGGGUGAAGAAGGCCUUCGGGUUGUAAAGCCCUUUUGUUGGGAAAGAAAUCCAGCCGGCUAAUACCUGGUUGGGAUGACGGUACCCAAAGAAUAAGCACCGGCUAACUUCGUGCCAGCAGCCGCGGUAAUACGAAGGGUGCAAGCGUUACUCGGAAUUACUGGGCGUAAAGCGUGCGUAGGUGGUUAUUUAAGUCCGUUGUGAAAGCCCUGGGCUCAACCUGGGAACUGCAGUGGAUACUGGAUGACUAGAAUGUGGUAGAGGGUAGCGGAAUUCCUGGUGUAGCAGUGAAAUGCGUAGAGAUCAGGAGGAACAUCCAUGGCGAAGGCAGCUACCUGGACCAACAUUGACACUGAGGCACGAAAGCGUGGGGAGCAAACAGGAUUAGAUACCCUGGUAGUCCACGCCCUAAACGAUGCGAACUGGAUGUUGGGUGCAAUUUGGCACGCAGUAUCGAAGCUAACGCGUUAAGUUCGCCGCCUGGGG